rnacentral:lncRNA from 13 species
GUUUGCACACAAAUGCCAAAGACCUGGAAUAAUCAAGGGUGUAUUUGUGAUAACUAUUCAGCCUACCGAGAGUAGUGGACUCACAGUGGAAGUGUUCAAGAGCAGCCCUACAAUGAUUAAAGGAAUCUAAAACCUGUGCUAGA